GAUGAACGCUGGCGGCGUGCCUAAUACAUGCAAGUCGAACGAACACACGCGGUGCUUGCUCUUGUCACUCUAGCGGCGGACGGGUGAGUAACACGUGGGUAACCUGCCCAUAAGACUGGGAUAACUUCCGGAAACCGGAGCUAAUACCGCAUAAGAUUUUGAGCCGCAUGGCUUAAUAAUGAAAAACGGCUUUGCCUUCUCCUAUAGAAUGGUCCGCGGGGCAUUAGCUAGUUGGUAAGGUAACGGCUUACCAAGGCAACGAUGCGUAGCCGACCUGAGAGGGUGAUCGGCCACACUGGAACUGAGACACGGUCCAGACUCCUACGGGAGGCAGCAGUAGGGAAUCUUCCGCAAUGGGCGAAAGCCUGACGGAGCAACGCCGCGUGAGUGAUGAAGGUCUUCGGAUCGUAAAACUCUGUUAUUAGGGAAGAACAAGUGUGAAAGUAACUAUGCACGUCUUGACGGUACCUAAUCAGAAAGCCACGGCUAACUACGUG
rnacentral:rRNA from 1 species